rnacentral:misc_RNA from 1 species
GAUCUUUGUACCUUCAGAAUUUAACUUUUCCUAUGAUUAAACAGUUCAAAAAUAUUUUCAUUCUACAAGCGUACCAAAGAGGUCAUUUUUGUGGCUAGAAAUGGACAUGAAUCUGAUUCUUGUACCUUUGAAGUUAAGUUGGGCUAGAAUUAUACACACAUCUAAAUUACAUUAUCAUUCUACGAGUGAGAUACAAAGGGCGACAGCCAUGCCCAGUAUGAGUGAAAUUAUCUGAACCAAUGAACUUCUAAAUGUUGAGCUGCUGUUGUUCAUUUCUGCAAGCACUCCAGCAACAGCAAUGUAUAUGAAGCCGCCAGCCGUAAAUCCCUCAAUCAAAGAUGACUGUCCUGGAUCUUGUCCCCAGAGCAAAGCCAAUACAGUUCCUGCUAGAGCCAACAACGCUGAAAGGAAGUUGAAAAAAAGGGCUUUAGUUACACUAAAACCAGAUCUUACCAGAAUUCCAAAAUCUCCCACCUCCUGAGGAAGUUCAUGUGCAAGCAAAAAUAGAGUUCUAGACCAUCCUCCAAUAGACCCAUAGAGGAGAAAUGCAUUUCCUAAAGCCAUUCCAUCAGUAAAAUUGUGAACACCAUCAGAAAACAAAUUGAGAUAACCAAACACCAGAUUUGAUGGUGCCUGACCAACUUCCUUUUUGUUCAGGGAUUUUUUAGUACUGGUAGAGCCACCUGUAGCAUCAAUAUCUGACAUAUCAUCCUUGCAAUCAGGAGUAGACUUUCUCUUCCGAAGAAGAGAUUCAUUUUCAGUCAAAUUAACCCCAUUCAAAUAGUUAUCUGAAACUUCAUCUGACACAUUUCCUUCAGUUUCCUUGGGAGAUUUUGACUGCAUAACUUCGUUAACGUCAUCAUCAUCACCAUCUUUCAAUUUCUUACUGCUCUUGUGAUGGUGGUGGUGACCAUGACUCCAUGCAGAAGCUCCACUAGAGUUAUCUUCAACAUAUCUAACCAGCUUCUCUACAAGAAGAAAAAGUACAAUGCCAGCUGCGACAACCAAUAUACCACAAUAAGAAUUCAAGGUGUUGUAACGCAAUCUGCAGAACCCCUGAUGAUAAUGAGAACACAAGAUCAACAAAACCUAACAGCUCUCAAGGUGAAUGAAGAGAUUACAAAUCUUAAACAAGUUAGAUAUGACUAAUUAAAAAAAUGUCUCUUAUUCUUUCUGGCUAGCACUUAAACACAGAACUAAAUAUCUCAUAAAUACAUAAAAUGGUUAAAGAAAUCAGAAGAAUCUUUAAGCAAAUUUAGACUGUCCUUUGUAACUGCUGGCUGUUAAGCCAAUGUGUGUGGGCAUGUGUCUGCUGCUGUAUCUAUGUAUUUGAACAAGAAAGGCUGACACUAGUCAACGGGAUUGCAUAAAUAUCUUGAUACUUACCCAAGACAGACAACCCAAUAGAAAGAUCUUUCAAAGAAUGGGCAUGUGAGUGCCCAUGUCCAACAUAAGCAUGAUGAGAAUGGUCAGCGCCAUGAUCAUGAGAGUGAGAGUGCUCACCACCUGCAAAACAUGAUUUAAUAAUUUAUCACCAACUAACAGCACUAAUUCAUCCCUGGCACUUGAAAAUAAAUGAUGUAUCAGAAAUUCCAGUUAACUUUCAAAAUUAAGUAAAAAAUUGUACUCCCUUGGUCUCGUAUUUCAAAUGCCGAUCCAUGAAGCCAACAUUUUAAAGAGAUGACAUUGAAUGAAAAGUAAGAAAUUUCAGCUUGUGGUGUCAAGUAGAUGGGAAAGAGUCUCUCUCUUUAUAACAAAAGAAUUCAGAUUUGACAUAGAAUUCUGGAGGAGGUUCUUUGAGAAUUUCAGAGGGAAUAGAAAUGAGCUGUUGAAGAGCAAGAACUGAAAGAAAAAGGGGUGUGCUGCUAGCUUUCUUACAGAUGCUCAACUUUCAAUUCAUUUCCAUGACAUCCAACAUCUCCAUAAUGAGCAUAACUUGCAACAUAGUGUCUGUCUUUGGAGUCGGCCCAUGCCACAUAUGACACGUACAAUACAAGAGAGCUACUGAUAAGCAUUUGCUUGCAAGCAAGUGAUAACUUCACCUUUAAGUAUGUUGAUACAAUAAUAUUUUUAUCAGUAAAUAACGAAAUUUAAAGGUCAUAUCAACUCAAUACAACUUCUCAUGGUGAAUUCUUUGAAUAGUUAGCUGGAAACAACUGGAAUUAGGUGAAUAGGCGUAGUAACAUCCUUCCCUCACUUGAUUCAGUUAUUAAAAGGGAUCUCGGAAUUCAGAGAAAAGGCUCCUGGCUGGGGGUAGGGCUGAGUAAUAAACAGUUUUAACAGAAAAAUUGAACAAACCGAUUUAGUUCGGUUUUUGGUUUACACAGUUCGGUUUAUGUUUUUUUAAUAAAUUUCAUUUUACAGUUGUUUCGUUAUUUUAGUCAAAAAUCGAUUAAAUAGGCUCAUCCUGUUAUUUUAUAUCCCUGGACCUUGGACCUUGGGCCUAUUUUGUCUUCAACCCAAAGAAGAUCCUUUAGUUUUGGCUCAUAACUUAGGCCUAUUUUGUCUUCAGUUAAUCAAUUCGCAUCAUCGACCUCUUCACUCUUCAGUUCCCAUCGACAUUUUCUUCUUCUUUAGAGAAUGCAUCUUCUUCUUCCUCAGAGAAUGCAUCUUCUUCUUCCCUGUUCACUGUUCCCAUCGACUUCUUCAGUUCCCUCCUCCUCCUCCACCUCCUUCUUGCCUUCCCCUCCCCUCGUCUUCCUCUCAAUUCUGUUUCUCCCUUUGGACCCUCCCUGGCUGCUGCAUGUCCUCAUUCUGUUCCCAUUGACUUAUUUUCCUCACCCAUAAACCUCGGUUCUCUCUCUAGUGUACUAGAUUUCGAUCUUUUACUCAACAAGCAAAACCUUGGUUCUGUGCCUCUCACCCGCAGCCACAAGUCAUGGUUCAAUUGAGAUUGCUUUUUUCAAUUGUAAUCUUUAACUUAUUUGUAAUUGUUGAAUGAUGUGUGCAUUUUGCCUUUGUUGAAUGUGAGUUUGAGAUUGCAUUUUUUUUAAGGGAAGGGGAAGAUGGAAGUGAAGAUCUGUAGGAGUACGCAAAAAAUGGGUGCCGUUUGCCCUUUUUGCACAAACCAACAAACUGAACGGGACCGAUUAGAUUCAGUUCCUCUUAUCAGCUCGAUUUGGCUCAGUUUUUGUUUUAGGAGAAUUCAGUGGUUUGGUUUUUCAAAAUCGGUUCAGUUCAGAGCCGAACUGACCGAUUGCUUAGGCCUAGUUGGAGGUAGCAAAGUAAAUUAACUGAAGUGAAAUUUCCACUAUUGGGAGCCAUUGGCUUCCCAAG